UACGUAGGGGGCAAGCGUUGUCCGGAUUUAUUGGGCGUAAAGAGCGUGUAGGCGGCCAGACAGGUCCGUUGUGAAAACUCGAGGCUCAACCUUGAGACGCCGAUGGAAACCGUCUGGCUAGAGUCCGGAAGAGGAGAGUGGAAUUCCUGGUGUAGCGGUGAAAUGCGCAGAUAUCAGGAAGAACACCCGUGGCUAAGGCGGCUCUCUAGUACGGUACUGACGCUGAGACGCGAAAGCGUGGGGAGCGAACAGG
rnacentral:rRNA from 1 species